AUCUAACUUUACGUGGCGAUUCCUUCUUCUUCUUCGACGCAUUUCCAAUGUCUCGCCAGAUCUGGGUUUCUCUCGCCAACCCUUCGGCUACGGUUCUCCCAAAAGCCUCCCCGUAACGCCUAAUUUAUGGUUACCUUACUCUCAUCUCCACUUCAAUACAUUCUCAGUUUAAGUCUCUGUUCCAAUUCUCUUUUUGAAGGCGGUUCGAUUUCUCACCAAACUGAAGCUAAAAAAAAAAGGGGAUUUCCCAAUUAUACAUUUCUGACUUGGAGACUGGUCGUUUUGAGGACGUGGUGGUGACACGUCUUCUUCAAUUAUGGGAGUGGGUACUCUGAAGAAAGGAGACGAGCUUAUUGGUGGUGAACAUGGUAUUGCUUGACAAGAAGUCGAUGUUGAUACAAGGUACCAUCACCGCACAUCGGCUCUACAGUUUUAAAAAUCUACUGAGUGAAGGCGCUGUCUACGAGCUUAGUGUGUUCUAUAUUGCUAGAAGCAAUAAUCACUUCAAACUGUGGGCCUCUCCUGUCUGUAUUCGAUUUACCGAGCAUACCAGCUUUGUCGAGGUUGUACUACCUCAGUUUCGGGUGUAUAUUACAAUUAUGUACAUUUCAGAUAUUUUUGGUCAGGAUAGGAGUAUACACACCAUCUACAAUGACGAAAACGAGUCGAUACAGCGUGUUAUGGUCACGAUCCAGCUGGACAGGUCAACCACUGUGUGUCAGUGUGUUUGAUAAGGUUGCGUGACAAGUUAGUACUCUUGGAUGUGGAGACAAAAGGUCGCUUAGUCCUAAACGUCACAUUAGGGACACAGUUCUACUUUUAUCAUGAAAGCCAAGCCACUCAGUGUUUCUUAAAAGAGUCUGUUAUUUCUUCCUACAAUUACUUACUACUUCACGAUUAUUACGACGUUAGUUCCCACAUUAAACAUACCAGAUGCAGGCUCUGCAGAGCAGAGAGUGGUUCCUCUGGUAUAUCUUCCAAAAUAUGGUGGUGUUAAGAAACUUGAAUCUGUCAGACUCUCUGAACUUAAUAUCUACGUUCUGAAUUCACCCCUACAGGUACGUUCACUGAAUAAGGAUCACUGUUAUUAUUGCAUUUAGCUCAGUUCUCAUGUGUACUGUCACAACAUGACCAAUUUACAUGUGUUGUUAUUUUUUUUGUUGUCUCUCCUUUUUCAUACUGCGCACAAUUAACCAAUCAAAACGUCUCUUACUUGAAAAUAAGAGACUUUUUUGCUGCUUGCUUUCUGCGUUUGCUCAUUUAUCUAGGCUUCACAUUUGAAAAAAAUAUUGUCAGCAACUGUGGAGUUUCUAAUAUAGCACCACACAAGCGAUGAUAUGUCUAUAGCUGUUAAACUUUCUAUGGUCCCAAAUCCAGUGGUGAAAAGCAGUUGUUCGUAUCACACAAUCGGGCCAGAUGAUGUUCCAAUUAUUGAAGGAUGUCCAGCCAGCACUGACCCAGAGCCUGCACAUACUGAUUCAGUCCUGACCUCCACCGAGACUCCCAUUGAUGAUGAAAAGGCCCCCGGUUCAAAGUAAGCUCGAAAUACUGAUCACUCCAACUAUGGAGACUUGGAAUUUGCAAAAUUCAAUUCCAUUGUUUGUUUCAAAAUUUUAUGUUUUUCUUCAAUAAUACUGUAAUCCACAUACUUUUACUCAGCACCAAAGUGUUUUUAUUUACUUAUCUUUGGUACAAUGCCAUUUAAAUAGUUGAGUUGGUUAUGAGCAUUAUUUAA